rnacentral:rRNA from 1 species
AUUGAACGCUGGCGGCAGGCCUAACACAUGCAAGUCGAACGGUAACAGGAAGAAGCUUGCUUCUUUGCUGACGAGUGGCGGACGGGUGAGUAAUGUCUGGGAAACUGCCUGAUGGAGGGGGAUAACUACUGGAAACGGUAGCUAAUACCGCAUAACGUCGCAAGACCAAAGAGGGGGACCUUCGGGCCUCUUGCCAUCGGAUGUGCCCAGAUGGGAUUAGCUAGUAGGUGGGGUAACGGCUCACCUAGGCGACGAUCCCUAGCUGGUCUGAGAGGAUGACCAGCCACACUGGAACUGAGACACGGUCCAGACUCCUACGGGAGGCAGCAGUGGGGAAUAUUGCACAAUGGGCGCAAGCCUGAUGCAGCCAUGCCGCGUGUAUGAAGAAGGCCUUCGGGUUGUAAAGUACUUUCAGCGGGGAGGAAGGGAGUAAAGUUAAUACCUUUGCUCAUUGACGUUACCCGCAGAAGAAGCACCGGCUAACUCCGUGCCAGCAGCCGCGGUAAUACGGAGGGUGCAAGCGUUAAUCGGAAUUACUGGGCGUAAAGCGCACGCAGGCGGUGUUGUUAAGUCAGUGUGAAAUCCCCGGGGCUCAACCUGGGAACUGCAUCUGAUACUGGCAAGUUGAGUCUCGUAAACGGGGGGGAGAAUUCCCAGGGGUAGCGGGGAAAGGCGGCGAAUCUGGAGAAAACCUCGUGGGAAAAGGACCCCCAGGGGAAAAAACGAGAGUCACGUGGGAAGGGGGGGGGUGGACAGAAUAGAGGAUCUGGUAUCAAAAGCCCGGGGGGGGGGAGCCGCUUUGUGGUGCCCGGAGGGGAGGGGGGGGGGGGGGAGCGGGGUGAGUU